AUUGAACGCUGGCGGCAGGCUUAACACAUGCAAGUCGAACGAGUGGCGGACGGGUGAGUAAUGCAUGGGAACCUGGCUUAUGGAGGGGGAUAACUACGGGAAACUGUAGCUAAUACCGCUUACCAUAGGAUGAGCCCAAGUGGGAUUAGGUAGUUGGUGGGGUAAAGGCUCACCAAGCCGACGAUCCCUAGCUGGUCUGAGAGGAUGACCGGCCACACUGGGACUGAGACACGGCCCAGACUCCUACGGGAGGCAGCAGUGGGGAAUAUUGGGCAAUGGGGGAAAGCUGACGCAGCCAUGCCGCGUGAAUGAAGAAGGCUUUCGGGUUGUAAAGUUCUUUUGGUAGAGAAGCGUUAACUAAAGAAGAAGCACCGGCUAACUCCGUGCCAGCAGCCGCGGUAAUAC
rnacentral:rRNA from 1 species